UAAGAAUGUGUGUUGUGGUGUUAAAUU
rnacentral:piRNA from 1 species